rnacentral:rRNA from 1 species
UACGUAGGGGGCAAGCGUUGUCCGGAAUUAUUGGGCGUAAAGAGCGCGUAGGCGGUCCGAUAAGUCGGCUGUGAAAGUCAGGGGCUCAACCCCUGAAUGCCGGCCGAUACUGUCGGGCUAGAGUCCGGAAGAGGCGAGUGGAAUUCCCGGUGUAGCGGUGAAAUGCGCAGAUAUCAGGAGGAACACCAAUUGCGAAGGCAGCUCGCUGGGACGUAACUGACGCUGAGACGCGAAAGCGUGGGGAGCAAACAGG